UACGAAGGGGGCUAGCGUUGUUCGGAAUCACUGGGCGUAAAGGGCGCGUAGGCGGCCGAUCAAGUCGGGGGUGAAAGCCUGUGGCUCAACCACAGAAUUGCCUUCGAUACUGUUUGGCUUGGGACCGGAAGAGGUUAGUGGAACUGCGAGUGUAGAGGUGAAAUUCGUAGAUAUUCGCAAGGACACCAGUGGCGAAGGCGGCUGACUGGUCCGGUUCUGACGCUGAGGCGCGAAAGCGUGGGGAGCAAACAGG
rnacentral:rRNA from 1 species